rnacentral:rRNA from 1 species
GAUGAACGCUGGCGGCGUGCCUAAUACAUGCAAGUCGAGCGAACAGACGAGGAGCUUGCUCCUUCGACGUUAGCGGCGGACGGGUGAGUAACACGUAGGUAACCUACCUAUAAGACUGGGAUAACUUCGGGAAACCGGAGCUAAUACCGGAUAAUAUUUCGAACCGCAUGGUUCGAUAGUGAAAGAUGGCUUUGCUAUCACUUAUAGAUGGACCUGCGCCGUAUUAGCUAGUUGGUAAGGUAACGGCUUACCAAGGCAACGAUACGUAGCCGACCUGAGAGGGUUAUCCGCCCCCCUGGAACUGAGACCCGGUCCAGACCCCUGCGGGGGGCAGCAGUAGGGAAUCUUCCGCAAUGGGCGAAAGCCUUACGGAGCAACCCCGCGGGAGUUGUGGAGGUCUUCCGAUCCUAAAACUCUGUUAUUAGGGAAGAACCAACGUGUAAGUAACUGUGCACGUCUUGACGGUACCUAAUCAGAAAGCCACGGCUAACUACGUG